ensembl:lncRNA
CUCCCAUUUAGUUAUUGUCUAUUUUAUCUGCGUUUUGGAAUGCUAAUUAUCGGUCAUUCCUAGGGUGACCAGACGUCCGGAUUUAGGCCGGACAGUCCGGAUUUUUAAUACACUGUCCGGCGUCUGGCGCAGCAUCAAGCCGGACGCAUAUUUGUCCUCCUUUUUGGAGUUGCACUGGGCCUAAAGAGCCGUGCUCUAGAAUAUUUUGCUGGAACUCAGUCUAACAAAUGAAUGGCUAAAAGCGGUGUCAAAUAAAUAUCUGAUAGGCUUAGGUUAGGUUAUAACCCUAUAUCAUUGGUUAAAAACGUAGACAAGGCUUAGUGUGCUGCUACGUCAUAUCUACGCUGCUGGCUACAUUGACAGAAAGUAAACACAUAGAAGAAAACAUGUCAAAACGUCAGACGUCGUUCAACCUAGAAUGAACAAAAGCAGUCGAGACUCCUUUCAUGGCUUCUGCACUCUCUGUCGCUGUGAUUUUGACAUAAGUAGUCAGGGUAAAGCUGCUAUUGAAAGACAUGCGGGAACAGAGAAGCAUAAAAGUAACAGACGCCGUAGGUAUCUCUUCGCUAAACAUUUUUUUUCGAGAAGGUACGUUGCCGUUGGAUAACAAAAUCUCCGCUGCUGAGCUGUGUAAGGUUUACCAUGCUGUAAAGUAAAGUACCGCGGUGUAGACUGCGGCGUGAAGGUGGACCGAGAGAUAUUUUGUGAUUCGCCCAUAGCUAAGGGGAUGAUGUGUGGCCGAACUAAAGCUCAGACUUUGUGUGCGAAUGUCCUAGCGCCCUACUCUGUAGCCUACAAAUACAUACAGAUUACAUCAAAGCAAACAAUUUGCCCUUUUCAGUGGCAACCGGUGCAUCAAACAAAGGUACGACCAAUUGUACUGAGAUAUUUGUACUUUGAGGAAGGUGUACAACAUGCCCUGUUGGAUUUUUACAGUGACAGCAACGACACUUCAGAGGCUAUAACAAACCAGCUGCUGGCUAAACUGGAGAUGUCUGGUCUAGAUGUGAAAUACAUGUCUGCAUAUGCAUUCGUUCAGAUUCAUCUAGAUGUCAAAUACAUGUCUGCAUAUGCAUUCAUUCAGAUUCAUCUAGAUGUCAAAUACAUGUCUGCAUAUGCAUUCACUCAGAUUCAUUUGUCUGUUUAUUAUUUAUUAUUUAUGUGACCUGUGAUUUAAUUUGUACAUUUUAAGUCCACAAAUGUUAUGCUUUGUGGCACUCAGCACUAAGAUUCAUCUCAGUGGUCAGUUUUUGAACACCACAACAUUUGAAUAAAUGCAAAUGCUGUGAACAAACACUUUUUGACUCUUCAAGAAUAUCUUUUCCUAUUCUGUUACACAUACAUCAUGUAUCAAUCACACAAAGUUGUAUUGUAGAGGGGAGCACGCCAGAGUCCUAUGUAAUUAUUCACAGCCUCACGAAAUACCGCAUAGUGUCCUCCUUUUUGGUGUUAUGGAUAUGGUCACCCUA